AUUGAACGCUGGCGGGAUGCUUUACACAUGCAAGUCGAACGGCAGCGCGGACUUCUGUCUGGCUGCUAGUGGCGAACGGGUGUGUAAUGUAUCGGAACGUGCCCAGUAUCGGUGUGUAACUACUCGAAAGCGUAGCUAAUACCGCAUACGCCCUACUGGUGAAAGCAGGGGAUGGUAAGACCUUGCACUAUUGUAGCGUCCGAUAUCGGAUUAGCUAGUUGGUGAGGUAACCGCUCACCAAGGCGACGAUCGGUAGCUGGUUUGAGAGGACGACCAGCCACACUGGGAGUGAGACAGGGCCAAGAGUACUACGAGAGGCAGCAGUCGCGAAUGUUGGACAAUGGGGGGAAACAUGAUCCAGCCAUCCCGAGUGUGAGACGAAGGCGUUCGGGUUGUAAAGCACUCUUGGCAGGAAAGAACCGCUGUGGGCUAAGACGAAGCGGAACUGACGGUAACUGGAGAAUAAGCACCGGCUAACUACGUG
rnacentral:rRNA from 1 species